rnacentral:rRNA from 1 species
AUUGAACGCUGGGGCAGGCUUAACACAUGCAAGUCGAGCGGGGAAGAGUAGCUUGCUACUUGACCUAGCGGCGGACGGGUGAGUAAUGCUUAGGAAUCUGCCUAUUAGUGGGGGACAACAUCUCGAAAGGGAUGCUAAUACCGCAUACGUCCUACGGGAGAAAGCAGGGGACCUUCGGGCCUUGCGCUAAUAGAUGAGCCUAAGUCGGAUUAGCUAGUUGGUGGGGUAAAGGCCUACCAAGGCGACGAUCUGUAGCGGGUCUGAGAGGAUGAUCCGCCACACUGGGACUGAGACACGGCCCAGACUCCUACGGGAGGCAGCAGUGGGGAAUAUUGGACAAUGGGGGGAACCCUGAUCCAGCCAUGCCGCGUGUGUGAAGAAGGCCUUUUGGUUGUAAAGCACUUUAAGCGAGGAGGAGGCUACCGAGAUUAAUACUCUUGGAUAGUGGACGUUACUCGCAGAAUAAGCACCGGCUAACUCUGUG